AAAAAAGGUAAGCUACUAAGAGCGAAUGGUGGAUGCCUUGACUGGUAAAGGCGAUGAAGGACGUACUAGACUGCGAUAAGCUACGGGGAGCUGUCAAGAAGCUUUGAUCCGUAGAUUUCCGAAUGGGGCAACCCAAUGUAUAGAGAUAUACAUUACCUAUAUAGGAGCGAACGAGGGGAAUUGAAACAUCUUAGUACCCUCAGGAAAAGAAAUCAAUAGAGAUUGCGUCAGUAGCGGCGAGCGAAAGCGCAAGAGGGCAAACCCAGUGCUUGCACUGGGGGUUGUAGGACUGCAAUGUGCAAGAGGUAAGUUUAGCAGAACAUUCUGGAAAGUAUAACCAUAGAGGGUGAUAGUCCCGUAUGCGAAAAACAAACCUUAGCUAGCAGUAUCCUGAGUAGGGCGGGACACGAGGAAUCCUGUCUGAAUCCGGGUCGACCACGAUCCAACCCUAAAUACUAAUACCAGAUCGAUAGUGCACAAGUACCGUGAGGGAAAGGUGAAAAGAACUGAGGUGAUCAGAGUGAAAUAGAACCUGAAACCAUUUGCUUACAAUCAUUCAGAGCCUUAUGUAGCAAUACAGGGUGAUGGACUGCCUUUUGCAUAAUGAGCCUGCGAGUUGUGGUGUCUGGCAAGGUUAAGCAAACGCGAAGCCGUAGCGAAAGCGAGUCUGAAUAGGGCGCUUAGUCAGAUGCUGCAGACCCGAAACGAAGUGAUCUAUCCAUGAGCAAGUUGAAGCUAGUGUAAGAACUAGUGGAGGACUGAACCCAUAGGCGUUGAAAAGCCCCGGGAUGACUUGUGGAUAGGGGUGAAAGGCCAAUCAAACUUCGUGAUAGCUGGUUCUCUCCGAAAUAUAUUUAGGUAUAGCGUUGUGUCGUAAUAUAAGGGGGUAGAGCACUGAAUGGGCUAGGGCAUACACCAAUGUACCAAACCCUAUCAAACUCCGAAUACCUUAUAUGUAAUCACAGCAGUCAGGCGGCGAGUGAUAAAAUCCGUCGUCAAGAGGGAAACAACCCAGACUACCAGCUAAGGUCCCUAAAUCUUACUUAAGUGGAAAACGAUGUGAAGUUACUUAAACAACCAGGAGGUUGGCUUAGAAGCAGCCAUCCUUUAAAGAAAGCGUAAUAGCUCACUGGUCUAGUGAUUUUGCGCGGAAAAUAUAACGGGGCUAAAGUAAGUACCGAAGCUGUAGACUUGCACACAACUUAGAUUAUUUAAGUUUAGAAUAUGAGAAACUAAGUUAUAUGUUUAGUUAUAUUUUUACUGAUUUUUAUAGAGUAAAGAUAGAAAUAAAACUUAGUAAAAUCAGUAAAAAUAUUCUUAGACUAAAGUUAAGUAGUUUAAGUUGUGUGCAAGUGGUAGGAGAGCGUUCUAUUUGCGUCGAAGGUAUACCGGUAAGGAGUGCUGGAGCGAAUAGAAGUGAGCAUGCAGGCAUGAGUAGCGAUAAUUAAUGUGAGAAUCAUUAACGCCGUAAACCCAAGGUUUCCUACGCGAUGCUCGUCAUCGUAGGGUUAGUCGGGUCCUAAGUCGAGUCCGAAAGGGGUAGACGAUGGCAAAUUGGUUAAUAUUCCAAUACCAACAUUAGUGUGCGAUGGAAGGACGCUUAGGGCUAAGGGGGCUAGCGGAUGGAAGUGCUAGUCUAAGGUCGUAGGAGGUUGUACAGGCAAAUCCGUAUAACAAUACUCCGAGAACUGAAAGGCUUUUUGAAGUCUUCGGAUGGAUAGAAGAACCCCUGAUGCCGUCGAGCCAAGAAAAGUUUCUAAGUUUAGCUAAUGUUGCCCGUACCGUAAACCGACACAGGUGGGUGGGAUGAGUAUUCUAAGGCGCGUGGAAGAACUCUCUUUAAGGAACUCUGCAAAAUAGCACCGUAUCUUCGGUAUAAGGUGUGGUUAGC
rnacentral:rRNA from 1 species